ACUGCUUUUCUUUGAAAUCCCCAAAUUGUGGAGCCCGCCGGUCAAUGACUUGCGGGUUUUUUUAU
rnacentral:sRNA from 1 species